GGUGGCACUUGGGUGACGCAUCCUGGAAUCGGGCUCCCUCCUCUCUGGUUCUGAGUGCAUCACCUGAGAACCACA
rfam:Myotis lucifugus cont2.48835, whole genome shotgun sequence.